rnacentral:snRNA from 1 species
GGAGUGAUGCUGCUGUGACAUCUGUCAUUCGUUGACCUCUAGGGUUGAAUCAGCCGGGUAGGCAGGAGUUCCCUUCUCCCUCACGGUUCUUGGCAUAGCUCCAGGAGCUGUGCACUCAGUUGAAGAGGAUGGCCUUCCCCAUCGAGGAGGACUGUUCUUAGGCCAAGGACAGGAGUAACUGUGCCUCCAUGUGGGAACCGAUGAACAAGCAGCCUGGAGGGUGGGGUUGGGGCAAAAGUAGCUACCCCUGCAGGAGCCUUGUGGAUUUCCU